rnacentral:misc_RNA from 1 species
CUCAUUUUUUCAUUGCAAGGUAGAGAAGGCUCUGGUUUAGGAGCACUGGUUUGAAUGACUUGAGCUCCGACAGAACUCCUAUCGGCUGGAGCACUUCCUGCUUCUGUGACCUCAUUCAAUGAAUUCUUACCCUCUCGAGAUUGAUGCUUCUUCAUAACUUGUGACCUAGGUAGUGACUUCUUUGAUUGUUUUCCAGCUCCCAUGCCAAUAAAUGCAGCCAAAUCAUUCCUAGCAAGUGAGACCUUCUUCUUACAUUCCAGGUACUCAGAAAUGGCUCGA